rnacentral:rRNA from 1 species
CGAACGGUGAAGAGGAGCUUGCUCCUUGGAUCAGUGGCGAACGGGUGAGUAACACGUGAGCAAUCUGCCCUUGACUCUGGGAUAACUGCGGGAAACUGUAGCUAAUACCGGAUAUUACCUUGGAAGGCAUCUUCUGGGGUGGAAAGAAUUUUGGUCAAGGAUGAGCUCGCGGCCUAUCAGCUAGUUGGUGAGGUAAUGGCUCACCAAGGCGACGACGGGUAGCCGGCCUGAGAGGGUGACCGGCCACACUGGGACUGAGACACGGCCCAGACUCCUACGGGAGGCAGCAGUGGGGAAUAUUGCACAAUGGGCGCAAGCCUGAUGCAGCAACGCCGCGUGAGGGACGACGGCCUUCGGGUUGUAAACCUCUUUUAGUAGGGAAGAAGCGACUGGGUUUUCCUGGGAGUGACGGUACCUGCAGAAAAAGCACCGGCUAACUACGUGCCAGCAGCCGCGGUAAUACGUAGGGUGCAAGCGUUGUCCGGAAUUAUUGGGCGUAAAGAGCUCGUAGGCGGUUUGUCGCGUCUGCUGUGAAAACCCGAGGCUCAACCUCGGGCCUGCAGUGGGUACGGGCAGACUAGAGUGCGGUAGGGGAGAUUGGAAUUCCUGGUGUAGCGGUGGAAUGCGCAGAUAUCAGGAGGAACACCAAUGGCGAAGGCAGAUCUCUGGGCCGUAACUGACGCUGAGGAGCGAAAGCAUGGGGAGCGAACAGGAUUAGAUACCCUGGUAGUCCAUGCCGUAAACGUUGGGAACUAGAUGUGGGGACCAUUCCACGGUCU